GGCUUUUUGAAAAUAAUUUAAGGUCUGGCCUGCCCAAUGAUGAAGUAUUAAAUGGCCGCGGUAUUUUGACCGUGCAAAGGUAGCAUAAUCAUUAGUUUUUUAAUUGAAAGCUUGAAUGAAGGGUUUAAUGAGAAAAUAGCUGUCUCUAUUUAAAUUUUAUAGAAAUUUAUUUUUAAGUUAAAAAGCUUAAAUAUAUACUAAAGACGAGAAGACCCUAUAGAGUUUUAUAGUUUUAUGAGAUUAUUAUAUUUUAGAAUUUUAUAAUGAUUUUUCAGAAUUAUUUGGUUGGGGUGAUUUAAAAAUUGGUAGAACUUUUUAUUAAGGAUUUCAUUGAUUUAUGAGUUUUUGAUCCUUGAUUUGAGAUUAGCAGACAAAAUUACCUUAGGGAUAACAGCGUAAUUUUCUUUAGAGUUCUUAUUGAAAGGAAAGAUUGCGACCUCGAUGUUGGAUUAAAAUAAAUUAUUGGUGGAGAAGCUGGUAGGUUAAGGUCUGUUCGACCUUUAAAUUUUUACAUGAUCUGAGUUUAAACCGGUGUGA
rnacentral:rRNA from 1 species